AUGCAAGUCGAUGGGGAAGGCUGAGCUUGCUUAGCUGGUACCAUGGCGGACGGGUGAGUAACGCGUAAGGAACUUACCUGCGGGACUGGGAUAACGGAGGGAAACUUCUGACAAGACCGGAUAAAGUUACUGGGCAGCAUUGUUUGGUAAUGAAAGGAGACGCCUGCGGAGAGUCUUGCGUCCUAUUAGCUAGUUGGUUGGGUAACGGCUGACCAAGGCGAAGAUAGGUAGCCGGCCUGAGAGGGUGGACGGCCACAAGGGGACUGAGAUACGGCCCUUACUCCUACGGGAGGCAGCAGUGGGGAAUAUUGGACAAUGGGGGCAACCCUGAUCCAGCAAUUCUGUGUGCACGAAGAAGGUUUUCGGAUUGUAAAGUGCUUUCAGCAGGGAAGAAGGAAGUGACGGUACCUGCAGAAGAAGCGACGGCUAAAUACGUGCCAGCAGCCGCGGUAAUACGUAUGUCGCGAGCGUUAUCCGGAAUUAUUGGGCAUAAAGGGCAUCUAGGCGGCCUAACAAGUCAGGGGUGAAAACCUGCGGCUCAACCCCAGGCUUGCCUUUGAAACUGUAAGGCUGGAGUACCGGAGAGGUGGACGGAACUGCACGAGUAGAGGUGAAAUUCGUAGAUAUGUGCAGGAAUGCCGAUGAUGAAGAUAGUCCACUGGACGGAAACUGACGCUGAAGUGCGAAAGCCGGGGGAGCGAACAGGAUUAGAUACCCUGGUAGUCCCGGCCGUAAACGAUGAUUACUGGGUGUGGGCAGGAAGACUGUCU
rnacentral:rRNA from 1 species